rnacentral:rRNA from 1 species
AUGAGUUCGGGGGUCUAGCCCCCAGCGGCGAGUGUCGUUCGAGCCCGCUCGGGGCUCGGCCGGCGGUCGUCGUGUUUCUCAACCCCAUGUUUACCCAUACCUUUGUUGCUUUGGCGGGCCUUGAGUAGGCUAUACGGCUCAUGCCGGCCCCAAGCUCUAUUGCUUGAGGGCGGCUCGCGCCCGCCAGAGGUUCAAACCAAAUCCUAUUUAUCAGUGAUGUCUGAGCAAAUAUUAAAUAAUCAAAACUUUCAACAACGGAUCUCUUGGUUCUGGCAUCGAUGAAGAACGCAGCGAAAUGCGAUAAGUAAUGUGAAUUGCAGAAUUCAGUGAAUCAUCGAAUCUUUGAACGCACAUUGCGCCCCUCGGCAUUCCGGGGGGCAUGCCUGUUCGAGCGUCAUUGCACCCCUCAAGCGUAGCUUGGUAUUGGACGUUCGCGGGCCCUCUUAUAGGGAGGGGCUCGCGGGUCCGAAAAGCAGUGGCGGUCCCCGAGGAUUUCGCGCGUAGUAAAUAUUAUCCCGCGUUGGAAAGAGUCGGUGGGCUUGCCAAAACUCCCCAUAAUCUUSAAUGAUUGACCUCGGAUCAGGUAGGGAUACCCGCUGAACUUAAGCAUAUCAAUAA